GGCAUCGAUGAAGAACGCAGCGAAAUGCGAUAAGUAAUGUGAAUUGCAGAAUUCAGUGAAUCAUCGAAUCUUUGAACGCACAUUGCGCCCUUUGGUAUUCCGAAGGGCAUGCCUGUUCGAGCGUCAUUUCACCACUCAAGCCUGGCUUGGUAUUGGGC
rnacentral:rRNA from 1 species